UACAGAGGCCCCAAGCGUUAGGCGGAAUCACUGGGCUUAAAGCGUGUGUAGGUGGAUGCCUAAGUACCUUGUGAAAUCCCACGGCUUAACCAUGGAAUUGCUUGGUAUACUGGGUGUCUUGAGCCACUCAGGGGCUACCGGAACAAACGGUGGAGCGGUGAGAUGCGUAGAUAUCGUUUGGAACGCCAAUGGUGAAAACAGGUAGCUGGGGGUGUGCUGACACUGAGACACGAAAGCCAGGGGAGCAAACGGG
rnacentral:rRNA from 1 species